CGGCUCUCUCUGGGUAUGGGCAAGUCCUCCUGGUUUGUCAAGGAGAUGAAAACACUGGGCACCCCUUAACAAUGUGAGUGGCCCAUAGGUCAGAACAAAGGGCUCCAAACUCCACAGCUGAGUCGGAAAUGUGCAGUGCCUGUAGAGGUGGAGGGGUAGAGGGGUCUACUCAUGUGUCACAAAGAUGUGACAUUUUCCCUGCUUGGUUUCAUCUAACCCACUUAAACCAUAGCAAUCACCGGAUCCAUGGUCCUAGGGAAGAAGAAGUGUUGAGCAAACUGCUAAUCUCUCUGCCUGGAUGGUCUGGUGAGGGAGUUGAGCUGUCUAGGCAAGGUGGGACAAGGCAGUGCCCCUGGUAAGAAAGAAAUGGUAGGAAAGGGAGGAGACACACAGAGGCCUGCUUGAAUAGGCCAGGUCUUGCUCCCUCGGCCUCAGGCUGAGGUACAGUUAGGACCUGGAAAGGGGGGCAGCAGUUCCCCAUUCAGCAGGCAUUUCAGAGCGGCUCGAUUUUGGUGCAGUGCAUUGACUGAAGCAGUCGCUGCUUUUCCCUGCCUUUCUGGGAACUAUUUUCUCCUCUGUUGGGGGCCGGGAAGAGUGACAGAAAUGCAUCUAGGUCCCUGAUGUAGGCAAGAUACAUUCAAAUACCACACUUAAGCCUCCUACGGCUGACAAGAGCCCUGAGUCCCCAGCUAUGGGACAGUCAGCCACUGCCCAGUCUGACAGUGUUUGUGGACUGGCUGCAGGACAUGGGAUGGGCAGGGCCAUAGACAGCAACUCUCCUGAAACACACACACGGUUCCCUUCAGAGGCAAUGUGGCUGGCAAGGGAAGGCCUCUCUGAUCUGCGGUCUACUCUCCUCUCACAGUGCCUUCGACCAUCCGUGCCAGAACUUCGGGGGCCAUCCUCGUGGGAACUUUCCCCAUCUCCAGGAUGCACUGAUGCUCCAGGGCCUGAACAGUUUCAUGGCUCCAGCUCCUGCUACAGCACCUGCACAGGAUGGUCUGGAGCUGCUUCCAUUUUCAGAUAUUAGACUAGGUUUGGAGUUUGAAGAAGCAUCAUGGUGCAUUUGUGGAACUCCAACCCUGAGUUUUCACUUCGUGUCUGUA
rnacentral:lncRNA from 1 species